AACAGGAUUAGAUACCCUGGUAGUCCACGCCGUAAACGAUGUCGACUUGGAGGUUGUGCCCUUGAGGCGUGGCUUCCGGAGCUAACGCGUUAAGUCGACCGCCUGGGGAGUACGGCCGCAAGGUUAAAACUCAAAUGAAUUGACGGGGGCCCGCACAAGCGGUGGAGCAUGUGGUUUAAUUCGAUGCAACGCGAAGAACCUUACCUACUCUUGACAUCCAGAGAACUUAGCAGAGAUGCUUUGGUGCCUUCGGGAACUCUGAGACAGGUGCUGCAUGGCUGUCGUCAGCUCGUGUUGUGAAAUGUUGGGUUAAGUCCCGCAACGAGCGCAACCCUUAUCCUUUGUUGCCAGCGGUUCGGCCGGGAACUCAAAGGAGACUGCCAGUGAUAAACUGGAGGAAGGUGGGGAUGACGUCAAGUCAUCAUGGCCCUUACGAGUAGGGCUACACACGUGCUACAAUGGCGCAUACAAAGAGAAGUGACCUCGCGAGAGCAAGCGGACCUCAUAAAGUGCGUCGUAGUCCGGAUCGGAGUCUGCAACUCGACUCCGUGAAGUCGGAAUCGCUAGUAAUCGUAGAUCAGAAUGCUACGGUGAAUACGUUCCCGGGCCUUGUACACACCGCCCGUCACACCAUGGGAGUGGGUUGCAAAAGAAGUAGGUAGCUUAACCUUCGGGAGGGCGCUUACCACUUUGUGAUUCAUGACUGGGGUGAAGUCGUAACAAGGUAACC
rnacentral:rRNA from 1 species